rnacentral:misc_RNA from 1 species
AAGUCGUAACAAGGUUUCCGUAGGUGAACCUGCGGAAGGAUCAUUACAAAUCCAACGUCUCUUUACCGAGACCUCGUUGAACUGUUCCGCUUGGAUAGGAGCGCUUGAUGUCUUCACCGUCAUCAUUCGUCUAUCCUUGCACUCUCCUUUAACUAGUGUGACUGUUGCUCAUUUGUAUGUCUCUUGAACAAAAAACAAGAAACAACUUAUAACAAUGGAUCUCUAGGCUCUU